UACGUAGGGGGCAAGCGUUGUCCGGAAUCAUUGGGCGUAAAGAGCGUGUAGGCGGCUCGGUAAGUCCGCUGUGAAAGUCCAGGGCUCAACCCUGGAAUGCCGGUGGAAACUGUCGAGCUAGAGUCCGGAAGAGGCGAGUGGAAUUCCUGGUGUAGCGGUGAAAUGCGCAGAUAUCGAGGAGGAACACCAAUGGCGAAGGCAGCUCGCUGGGACGGUACUGACGCUGAGACGCGGAAAGCGUGGGGAGCAAACAGG
rnacentral:rRNA from 1 species